rnacentral:lncRNA from 1 species
CAGGGAUCACCAGCGCUUUGACUGACUUUGCUCGUCCAGGAGCUGUCCCUAGACAGGGAUUGGGAGACAUGCAAGUUGCUUGGCUUCCUAUUACCUUGUGUUGAAAACACAAUAGGCUUUGGGAUCAGGAGUUCAUUCCAGUUAUUUUAAUGUUAUUUACUAGCAGUGUGCCCUCGUGCACAUUAUCAAACUCCUCUGACUCUUGGAAUCCUCAUUUUUCAAUAAUAACUCACAAAGCUGUCAAGCCUAAGGGUUCUAACAGCUCGAACAGCACCUGGAACAGAAGCAAUAGCCGCCACUCAGAGGUUACUUCUUCCUUCUCCGCCUUCUCUGGAUCACCUCCCUACCUCAUCCUCAAUCUAACGCUGGAAAUAUUGGAUAUGGGGUUCUUCAAUCUCAAAUAAAUCAUCUGUAGAGUCCCCUCCAGUUCCGAAAUUCUCUCUAUGUCUUGGAGUGUGUGGAAUAGCCAGGAAACCAGCCCAGGAGCUUUGACUCCCAGCCAUUCUGUAAGUUGACUGUGUCAUGGCUCUGCCUUCUUUCCUUUCUCCUUCCCUGUAGUCUCCCUUCCAGCUUUGUCCCUUACCACCAUCCAGGAUCCGGUCCUGGGCACGCCCUGCCUGGGGCUUCAGUGCACACUGGCAUCUCUGGAAUUCAGGUGAUGGGGCAGGCCCUGCCCUUCCUCUGUUAUUGCUCCUACUGGAUCUCCACCCCCACCUCCCCAGCCAGAGGCCCUCAAUCCAGCCCCGUUAGAGAGAAGAGGGGAGGGAGCCCCACUUACCCUGUCUGACUCUGUCUUUUCCUUUCCUCCGGUGUUAGCCCAUGCUCCAGGUGGAGGGAGAAAGUGCACACAGGCGCACCAAAGC